UACGUAGGGGGCUAGCGUUGUCCGGAAUCAUUGGGCGUAAAGGGCUCGUAGGCGGUUCGUCACGUCGGGAGUGAAAACUCGGAGCUUAACUCCGAGCCUGCUUCCGAUACGGGCAGACUAGAGGUAGGCAGGGGAGAGCGGAACUCCUGGUGUAGCGGUGGAAUGCGCAGAUAUCAGGAAGAACACCGGUGGCGAAGGCGGCUCUCUGGGCCUUACCUGACGCUGAGGAGCGAAAGCGUGGGUAGCGAACAGG
rnacentral:rRNA from 1 species